rnacentral:rRNA from 1 species
CAGUAGCCGCGGGAAUACGGAGGGGGCUAGCGUUGUUCGGAAUUACUGGGCGUAAAGCGCACGUAGGCGGCUUUGUAAAUUAGAGGUGAAAGCCUGGGGCUCAACUCCAGAAUUGCCUUUAAGACUGCAUCGCUUGAACGUCGGAGAGGUGAGUGGAAUUCCGAGUGUAGAGGUGAAAUUCGUAGAUAUUCGGAAGAACACCAGUGGCGAAGGCGGCUCACUGGACGACUGUUGACGCUGAGGUGCGAAAGCGUGGGGAGCAAACAGGAUUAGAUACCCCGGUAGUCCCUGUCUCUUAUAC